UGGACAGAUUAUCUUAUUCGACUGUAUUCACGGCGUGAAACAGGGGAUUACACUGUUUUUAAACGGAAAGUGAAUCAAUUAACAUAAUAGACUCCU
rfam:Nicotiana attenuata strain TT chromosome 10, whole genome shotgun sequence.